rnacentral:rRNA from 1 species
GACGAACGCUGGCGGCGUGCUUAACACAUGCAAGUCGAACGGUAAGGCCCUUCGGGGUACACGAGUGGCGAACGGGUGAGUAACACGUGGGUGAUCUGCCCUGCACUUCGGGAUAAGCCUGGGAAACUGGGUCUAAUACCGGAUAGGACUCCUGGCUUCAUGGGUGGGGGUGGAAAGCUUUUGCGGUGUGGGAUGGGCCCGCGGCCUAUCAGCUUGUUGGUGGGGUAAUGGCCUACCAAGGCGACGACGGGUAGCCGGCCUGAGAGGGUGAUCGGUCACACUGGGACUGAGAUACGGCCCAGACUCCUACGGGAGGCAGCAGUGGGGAGUAUUGCACAAUGGGCGCAAGCCUGAUGCAGCGACGCCGCGUGAGGGAUGACGGCCUUCGGGUUGUAAACCUCUUUCAGCUAUGACGAAGCGCAAGUGACGGUAGUAGCAGAAGAAGGACCGGCCAACUACGUGCCAGCAGCCGCAGUAA